rnacentral:rRNA from 1 species
GACGAACGCUGGCGGCGUGCUUAACACAUGCAAGUCGAACGGAAAGGCCCUGCUUUUGUGGGGUGCUCGAGUGGCGAACGGGUGAGUAACACGUGAGUAACCUGCCCUUGACUUUGGGAUAACUUCAGGAAACUGGGGCUAAUACCGGAUAGGAGCUCCUGCUGCAUGGUGGGGGUUGGAAAGUUUCGGCGGUUGGGGAUGGACUCGCGGCUUAUCAGCUUGUUGGUGGGGUAGUGGCUUACCAAGGCUUUGACGGGUAGCCGGCCUGGGAGGGUGACCGGCCAAAUUGGGACGGAGAUACGGCCCAGACUCCUACCGGAGGCAGCAGUGGGGAAUAUUGCACAAUGGGCGGAAGCCUGAUGCAGCAACGCCGCGUGCGGGAUGACGGCCUUCGGGUUGUAAACCGCUUUCGCCUGUGACGAAGCGUGAGUGACGGUAAUGGGUAAAGAAGCACCGGCUAACUACGUG